GACAUAGGUGGCGAACGUUAUCCGGAAUUACUGGGCGUAAAGCGUGCGCAGGCGGUUUGCUAAGAGAGAUGUGAAAGCCCCGGGCUUAACCUGGGAACUGCGUCUGAUACUGGAUGGCUUGAGUGUGGGAGAGGGAUGCGGAAUUCCAGGUGUAGCGGUGAAAUGCGUAGAUAUCUGGAGGAACACCGGUGGCGAAGGCGGCAUCCUGGACCAACACUGACGCUGAGUGAGCGAAAGCCAGGGGAGCAAACGGG
rnacentral:rRNA from 1 species